GUGAGGGUGGGGGGCCACGGGGGGGCACUGCGGCUACAGAGCCCCGAGUGGGAGGCCGGGGGGAGGCGGGGGCGCCGGAGCUGGGCUGCCUCUUACCUAUCAGGUAAGACUGACCCACGGGAGGGAGGUUUCUAGUCAAGGCUGUUUCCCCCAGGAAAUUUAAAAGCUAGAUUUCGGCUUCAGGGCGAUAGGCCAUGGUGAGGGGAUCUGUAUUUUUUAAGGUUUUUCUAAAGGACUUCUGGGCCAGCCUUCCACCUUGGGAUCCCCAGAUUUGCUGCCGUGAGGUACCUGGAAGGAACAGAGGGACGCCCAAGGGCAGUGACUGGGGGCAGUUAUGGUCACUACAAAAGGAGAACAGGGAUCCCCAGGAAGUGUCUCACGUCCGGCGCUGUGGAAUUAGUUGCUGAUCAAGUAGGGAGAAAAUGAAAUUAAAAUUUUAAGGGCUAAUUCCCCUUCAUUCAAGAAAUAUUUACUGUGAUGAAGACAUGUUCCAUGCAGAGGAAAUGGCCAAUGCAAAGAGCCCCUGACUGGAGGGCAUUUGGCACAUUCUAGGAGAGUGAGGAGGAUUCUAUGGGCCAGGAAUUCAGACAGGGCACAGUGUUGAUGGCUUGUCUGUGUCCUGGCUGGGAUGGCUCAAAUGGUUGUGGGACUAUUUGACUUGAAAGGCUGGAGCCUGGAAUCAUUUGAAACAUUGUUCACUCAUGUGUCUGGCACCUGCGUUAGAAUGACUGAAGGCUACAUCAACUAGAGUACUUACAUCCGGUCUCUCCAUGUGACUUGGACUUUUCACAGCGUGGAGGCUGGAUUUCAAAGGUCAACUGAGAAUGGCAGAGGACUCAUCCCACCUUUGCCACAUGGUGACUUGCCCCACUCCCCCAGGUGACCUUGCUCGUGCAUGUGGAUAUUUGCUCAGAUUAAGAAUGUUUCCCACAAAAUUGCUUACUCUCUUUCAUUCUGUCCGUGGUUGCUUGUGGUUUAUUUGUUGAUAACUGAGACUAUUUAAAGAUUGCCAAAACAAAAGCCAUUUCUUUUCUCCCCGAAUAGCCUCAUUUUUUCUAUUCCCUUUUUCCCCUCCUAUUAACAUUUCUGGGGACUCUAAAGCAGAGCUCAAGAUGGUUCAGGACCACGGAGAGCGCAAGGAAGGGGAACUACCAAAGCACUUUAGUCAUGCAGGUGGGGAAAGAGAUGAUCCUAAAAUUGUUUUUAUUUUUCUGUUUUUUUGAGAGGGAGUCUCGCUCUGUCACCCAGGCUGGAGUGCAGUAGCACGAUCUUGGCUCACUUCAACCUCCGCGUCCCGGGUCCAAGCGAUUCUAGCGCCUCAGCCUCCUGAGUAGCUGGGAUUACAGGUGUGCACCACCAUGCCCAGCUAAUUUUUUGUAUUUUUAGUAGAGACUGGGUUUUGCCAUGUUGGCCAGGCUGGUCUCCAAUUCCUGACCUCCAGUGAUCCACCCCCCUCAGUCUCCCAAAGUGCUGGGAUUACAGGCGUGAGCCACCACGCCCAGCCAAUAGUGGAAUUGUUGCCGGACAAUAUUUAUUUAAAAGACAUUAUUGUAAAGAGUAACAGUGUAAUUCUGGCUCCUUGAAAUUUGAGGGGAAUGAUUUUUCUGGACAUUCGACCAGUGCUUUCUAAAUUUCUCCACUGAAUUCUAUCUAAUGACAGAUGAGAGGACACUGAAAGUAGGAGUAGCCAUAAGUCACCAGUGCAAAAUGUCUUUUGAAGUUUGCAUUUAUUGAUUGCUACCAUUUAUGUAAAGUUUUACAGUUUUGACAGUCAUAGGGUUCACCAAUCCACCAUAGAAGAGAAUUAAGUCAUGCGGACACAGCAGGGUUUAGAAUGGAUGAGUAGAGGAGUGUGUGCAGGCUCCAGUCCCCAAAGUCUCUAGGACUGUCCUAGAACCUGCAGCUCAUCUGUCAAUUCUGUCAACUACUCAGGAUCCUCUCAAGAAUUAUCCCCCCAUACCCACCUUUUAAAUUUCCUCAAGCUAGUUUCAUUUGAGUUUUGUCACUUGCAACUGAAUGAGCCCUGCUAAUGCAGAUAGAUUCAAUUGAGAAGGGGAAUUCUAGGCUAGGAGUACAAGGUUACAGGCAAGGAGACAGGAACAUAGCUUGGGAUUUCCUGGGGCAGUGAGAAAACUGACUUUAAAAAAAUGGAAUGGUUUCUAAAAUGUUUGUACAACUUCUCUGUAUGGCAAUGGGGUAGGAGUAUAAAUUCUUUCAGCUUCUUCUGAGGGCAGCUGAACAAGAAGUAUAAAAAUUUUGAAUGCUGAUAACAUUUGACCUAGCAAUUCCAUCUCUAGAAAUAAAUUCUACAGUAGUAAUCUUAAAAACGUAUUCACUGAAAUGUUAUUUUCUCAUAGAAAAUGUCGAAACAACAUAUGUGUCCAUCAAUAGAGAACUUGCUAAAUGAUUUAUACUACCUUUACAUAUUGAAAUACGCAUAGCCGUGGAAGAUAAUUUAGUAGAUCUAUAUGUCCCAUUAUGGAACAAUCCCCAUGGUGGGGGGAAAAGUAAGGUGCAGAACUGUAUCAUAGAUGUUCUCUCUCUCUCUCUUUUUUUUUGGAAAGCACAUGUAUGCUUUUAUAUACACAGAAAAAUUCUAGAAUGGCAAACAAGAUAUCUUUGCAAUAGUUUUUUUCUGGGAGGGGACUCAUUUAAAAAAAUUCUCCCAUAUUGCUUGUUUUGUUUUGUUAAAGACAUCCAUGUAUUCCUACUUGGGUUAAGCCAUGAUAACUAAAUAUGAUUAAAGUUCAGAACAAUAAAAACCUUAGAGAUGUAUACAUAAAUAUCACUUGCUUAGGAAUUUCUAGGUAGGUACUAUUUUAAGCCCUCUACAUAUAUUAUUUCAUUCAAUCCUUGGAGCAACUCUAGGAGGGAGGUGUUAUCCUCUAAUUGCAGAUGAGGUUGAUGAAGCUUAAAGAGUAAUGAUGCCUUGAGUCCAUCCUCUGGCUCCAAAGCCCUUGUAUUUAACUGUUCUCCCUUUUGCAUCCCUGUGCUAAAGUGACUUUGCUAUAAUAUCCACAAGGAAGAAUUUCUGUGUAAAAAUUAGACUUCCUUGCAGGCAGUCUAUCAGUGAUAUCCAAUAAAGACUCAAUAAUGGCUAACAAUACAAACCACACACACAAGAAAAACUUCUCCUUUUGUGCCAGGUACUUAGAUUAGGUGUAGUGGUUUUCUUAAACUGAUUAUCAAGGUAAACACCACCUCAUACAUUUCAGCAGAGAGCAGUGGUUUCUCUCUCCAGCAGUGGGAGCCAUUGAAUCAGGACAAUGCCACACAGUUGGGCUUUCAUGUUAGAUAGAUCACUCUUGUGGUUUUGGGGGAUGGCAUUAUAAGAGAGGAGACUGGAGACAGGGGGGCUAUUGUCAUGCAGAUUUGUUGGAUGUCCACCCAGCAUUCACUUUUUCCAUCUUUUGCCAGGGGUACACUACACAACAUCACCAGUCAUUUCAUAGAAUGGCAAUUAGAUUAGGCUUAGGUCUGCACUGCCUUCCUUCACUCCGCUCUGUCACUUGCCAUCAUUGUAAAUGCUGACAACUUAGUGCCUUUCAUGCUUCAAGUAUCAAUAAGAUAGGAAUAGUAAUAGUAUCACAUUGAAUUAUUGUGGAGUUUUGAACAGAUGAUACUUGUGUUAUCAGUGCUCAAUAAAUAUUAGCUGUCCUCUUCCUUAUUGUUGUUGUCCUCAACUAUGUAUUUUAAAUGGGAUUAGUCACACAACUCCUCAUGUCCCCCACCCAUUAAUACCUGACUCCUUUGCAAAACAAAGCAUAGCAUAUGGUGGUGGGGAUUACAAAAUCGUUACAGAAAUUUCAUAUGUAAAAAAGGGGCAAGAGUUGGCCAGUUUGACACUUCCUUAACCUAUUUUAUUUUUCUUAAAUAUUACAGUAUCACCAGAUAUACUUUCUAUUUAUUUCUUCUCUGAGAGUAUGCAAUUUGUCUGAUGUGUUGCCUGCUGUUUUUGGGUGAGUGAUAAAUAUGAGUUCUAUAUAGGGGGUGAAGAAAGCAUUCCAUGAGUGGGACUGUAUGAACAAUGGAGAAAAGUCAUGAAGGAAAGAUGGCAUUCCAUGUGGACUCGAGUAAAGUGAACAUGAUAUCUUGUCUAUAAGGGGGAUCAUACAUUUAAAGCAUUCAGCAACCUGUAACCAACACAACAGUCUUUCCAAGAAGAAGAGAGUAUGAGCUUUUAGAGGGGAAGAAAAUCCACAUUGGUGAUGCAGGUGGCCAAGACAGGUGCUGCACACACUGGAUUACAGCAUGGAAGAGGAGCCCAGGGUCAUGGAGGCACCCAGCAAGUGGCAAAAUAUGGGCACCUUGACCUACUGGGUUGCCUAUGUGACCAGCUACAGAAGCUGCUCAGUAUCAGGAGCUGGAGCUGCCUGCAAUCUGGCCACUCAGCAAGAAUUUUCAGAGACUGUUUCUAUUCCAUAGUGGAUGCUCCAUCCAACACCAUUCUUUUAAAGUGCGCACAUCUGAUCACUUUCCAAGUAUAAAUGGCCUGAAUUUAUUUUCCUUUCUUUACCAAAAUCCAACCUAAGUAAUUUUUUUCUUUCCAUACUCCUUAUUCAUGAACUCUAAUUGUUGGUAACUUUGAGAGCAUUGGUCAUCUUAAUUUCUUACCACUAAUGACAUGACAAGUUAAUUUCUGCAAUAAGAACAGCUAAAAUUAUUUUUAUAUCUUCUAACAUAAUAUUUUGUCAUGAAUGCUUUCCUAGAAUCUUCCUUCUGGAAUCCUACUUUUUAUGUAGUUUGGAGAUUCUCUUUUCUAAAAUAAAGAUUAGCAUGUAAGAUAAUAAAGUUAUUAUAUAUUUCAUCCAAACUGUAAAAAUACAUUGAAUAUUUUACUUCUUAAUUCCUCUAGGUAAUAUAAAAGUAUUUUAGACAGUUUUAUAUUGUAUUAAUUGAAGCAUAUCAAAGUUGAUUGAUUUCUAAAGACUGUGAACUCAACCCACAUAAGAGGAGGCAAAAGUAAAGAUUAGAACUUGCCAUUUCUAUUCCAGUCCAUUAAUUCUAGCUUAAGCUAUUUCUGAUAAGUGUGUACUCUGGAGAAAAAAAAAAUGUUAUUUGAAGAGUGGCCACUAUAUUUGUUUCUGGCAAAACUAAAGUUUUAAAAUUCCAGUUCCUCAACAAAUGGAAGAUGGAAUUUUCCAGUUCUUCAAAGUAUGAUUUUUAGGACUUGCUACUAAAGGUUAAAUUUUCUCUCUCUAUUAUAACAUAUUCAUGGAUCCUUUAGACAUUAAAGUAAAGUUGGAGUGGAAGAGUAGAAAAUAACAGA
rnacentral:lncRNA from 1 species